GACUCCUAAUUUUUUCACUAAGAGCCAUUCAAGAAGCAUUCUAGCAUUUUAUCUUUUUAGUUGUUACAAAGAUACCGCCUAAACCGUGAAGUAAUGAUUGUUGUGGAUGUUGUGAGGGAUGCAAUAACAGCGCCAACUAAUCGCAACAAUCCAAUCAGUGCUGAAUUGAAAUGUUUAACAACACUUCACUACCUGACACCAGGGAAAAUUCAGUUGUGUAAUUCUGACGAUCUUGAGAUAUCCCAGCCAUCGGUAAGCAGAUCCAUCAACCAAACCAUCAAUGCACUCUGUAGACCCUGUAUUAUUCGACAGUUCAUACGUUUUCCUAUGGACAUUCGCCAAAUCCAAAUAAACAAAGCCAGCUUUAUGGAUAUUGCCGGUGUACCUGAAGUGGUCGGUGCUAUAGAUGGGACACAUAUUAAAAUAAUUGCACCGCGUCAGGUUGAGGAUGUGUUUGUGAACAGAAAGAAAACCCACUCCAUCAAGUGGCCCGGAUCAACUUAUGACUCGAGGAUAUUGAUGGAGAGUGGUCUGAGGCAACUGUUUGAGAGACGUCAUGUGCCAGCUGGAUGUCACUUGGUGGGGGACAGUGGCUAUCCCUGUAAGUCGUGGCUCCUUACACCUUACCUCCAUCCACAAGUGGGACCACAGUUAAAUUACAAUAGAGCACACAAGAAGACAUGCAGUGUGGUGGAAAGGGGGAUUGGACAGCUAAUGCAAUGUUUUCACGUUUUACAUAGUGAAAUCCGCCUUAGACCAGAGAAGACGUGUUAAGUGAUCACUGUGUGUGCGCUACUUCACAACCUGUGCCGGCAAAGAAACAUACCACAGGCAGGAGAUUGUGAUGAGUUUGAUGAUGAUGAUGAUGACAAUGAACACAACCAAUUUGUUGAUGAAGUGGAACAAUGUGGACUGGCAUUCAGGGAUCACUUUGUCCAUACACACUUUGGGGGUGAUGGCCUUGCACCAGCAGCAGCCCUGAGGGGAGAGGAAUAGGUGAAGUAAGAGUCAGGGGUGGAAGAUGCGCAGGAAGAGGAAGAUGACCUGCAUCUGAAGGACCUGGGUUUUCAUUUGGCCUGUAACAUAAAUUGUAGACUGUAAAAACAUCUUAUAAUUUGUGAACACAGUUUUUUGUGUGGGUGUUUGGUUUGCACAUAAUGAUAUUGUAUGCCCUUCAUUAAAUAUCACCAAAAAUGUACAAGUAUUGCAUUCAUCGCAUAAACAUAGCCUACCCCUCUAUUUCCAUUAGCAGCUGCAUUGCCGGAUCAGUUUUACCCUCAAGGCCCGUUAUGCUGGUGUCUGAUCCAACGGCACUAUACACCACCGAUGCAAUGUGGCUCAGUGGCUUAGGUGCUGGUCCUCCUCCUUAACAAAUGUAUGGACAGUUUCACCAACUUAAAAGCAUUGCCUACAUAAUACUUAAAAGCACACUUUAAUGUAAGCAUAUUGUUUAUGACAUUUGUUUCAUAAUUCAUUACAUUCAUGACAAGCAGGAAGUUUGUAGAAUUACAUGAAACAAUAAUGAUAUUAUAUAUUUAAUAUAAUAGGCCUACCUGUUGCCAUGUUUGCCCGUUUAAAAGCUGCAAUCUCAACCCUCGACUGCGAUUGUAGCACAUACACCACCUCUCGCAGUCGUCCGGUGUCCGCGACACAAGCGGGAAUGCUGCAUUGAUCUGUAGACAAAUCCUCUCCCAUGUCUCACGCUUAGUUUGGCUUGAUAUCCCAGUGCUGAAUUUCUCUUUUAUUAUGUGUCUUUUUUCCAGCACCAACUGGGCCAGCAGCAGUAACUGAUCCUGUGUCCAGUUGGGCUUUCUUUUACGUUUUGGCGAGCUCAUGAUCCACCGUCAUUCAACAAUUACAUAAGGCUACUUCAAUAGGAGCAACAUUUCCUUACUUUAAGUAGUCUAUUUAGGCUAAUAGGAUGUCAAUUAACCAAGCAAGUGUUAAUGCAAUGUCGUUUUUCAUUAUUAGGCAAUUUGCGGUUUUCAUUAUGGUAUUAGGCUACCUUGAUUUAAUUUUAUUUUAUUCACGACUUUUCUCUCUCUCUCUGCCUUUUUAGAAUUACACUUCACUGGGGCCUGCACAAACAUGACAUUAUAUAUGCAUUUGGAUGACAUUGAAAUAUGUCUGUGUCCUACACAAAAUAAUAAUAGUAAUGUCGUAAUUCCAUGAUUUGGUGUGUCUGUGUUAUGUUCCGCAUGAUAGCCCUGUCAUCUAACAACCAAUCACCGUGGUCAUUGCGAGGGUGCAUGAGAAUUGACGUCAUCCGUAGCAACGAAGACUCGCUCUUAGUUUAGGAAGGAAAAUGUAAGUUAACCCUUGAAUUUAAUAGCUUGUUGAACCUCCUUUGGCACCAGUUACUUCAAACAAGCGCUUUCAGUAGUUCUGAAUCAGACCUGCACAUCGUUCAGUAGGAAUAUUUACCCAUUCCCCUUUACAAAACCGCUUCAACUCAGACACAUUUGUAGGAUGUCUGGUGUAAAUCGCACUUCUGAGGUCAUUCUCCAGGUUAAGUUCUGGGCUUUGUCUAGGCCACUUCAAAUGGCACAUUUUGUUUUGUUUUUUGUCAGUCCGAGGUGGAUUUACUUCGAUCCUUAAGGUCAUUGUACUGCUGCAUCAACCAACUUCUACUUAGCCUCAACUGGCGGACAGCCACCCUGACAUUAUCCUGUAGGAUAUUUUGUUAAAUUUGGUAAUAAAUUUUUCCCUCGAUGAUGGCAAGUGGUCCUGACUCUGAGGCAGCAAAGCAUGCCCAGAUCAUGAUGUUCUCUCCACCAUACUUCACUGUUGCGAGGAUGCUUACUGUUGGUAAGCUGUGGCCUUUUUGCCCCAUAGUAUUUUUCCCGAACAAUUCAACUUUUGUUUUAUCAGUCCAUAAAAUAUUUUCACAGUAGCACUGGAUUGUUUUGUAUCCCUUUUCAGCCUUAUGGAGUGCAACAAGUCUUGAUCAGAUAUCUUUAGAGAGGCAUGGUUCAUAAGAGCAGCAAUGUUAAAAUGUUUGAGUGUCUUUUUAUCAAUCAAAGUGGCACUAAACCACACCUUUGAACUCAUUUUAUUAAUUGGACUCCAGUUUGCCAGCUUCUGACACAAAUGAGCUUUUAUUAAAGUAAAUAGUUAAUGGGUUCACUUACAUUUUCCUCCAGCAAUGUGAAUGUUUACUGGGUGUUUUAAAAAAAGACACAAGAAACUAGAAUUACGUGUAUGUUACACAUUGUGUUUGUCCAUUAUUGUGACCUAGAUGAGGAUCAGAUCACAUUUUAUGGCAAAUUACUGUAAAAAAAAAACAGUUCAUUCCUAGGGGUUCACAAACUUGCCACUGUGAAUAUGUAUUUUCAUAUCUCUGGUCAUUGUAUAUGUUGUGUGCAUGUAAAUAUGUGCAUAUCAUGUGAUAAUGACUGUAAAUACAAUAUUGUAAUAUAUAUAACAAUGCAGACUGUUAUUUCUUGACAUUUAAAUGCAGUAAGCCACCUGAAGCUAUACUAUAUGUUACACAAGAUAUGGCCUUGCAUUAUUGCUUUUAUAAAAUGAAGACAGCAGUAAUAUGAUUAAAGAUGCCAAAGGUCAAUAAAUAAUUAAAGAUAUGAAUGUAACUGUAGACAUUUUUCAUUGCAAAGUAAUGUUGCCUUAAUAUUAAAUGUGCAGAAAUGUUAUUUAAAUGAAGAGUUAUUAAA